CUGAGUACAGAAGCGAAAUGAAAUUGACCGGAAGUAGGAAGUUUGACGUAGUCGGCUACGUACAGACACGAGGAUGUGAGGACGCCAGUGCUCCGUAAUCUGGACAAAAUGACAAGCCACGACAAAAGUCGAAAGUUUGUCUGGUUCUGGAUGAAGGUCCGUGUCGGUCUGUCGCCGUCUGACCUGUAGAAACGCCUCAUUAACAGAACAAACGAGCGCUGUACACUAAUGAGUGAAGAUCCAUUCCUGUGUGUCCUCUAAUAACGGCUGCGGUCAUUAGUGCUCCGCUGAGACUCUUCCUCCUCAUCCUCCUCUUCCUCACGAUCUACAGGUGAACCACUGCGACUCACAAUCAGCUUUAACAGAGAAAACACACAUCACAUCUCUUCAGUUCUACAGUAUGUGCUUGACAACUAUACACAAAUAAACAUGCAGAAAU